AUUGAACGCUGGCGGCAGGCCUAACACAUGCAAGUCGAGCGGUAGAGAGGUGCUUGCAUCUCUUGAGAGCGGCGGACGGGUGAGUAAUGCCUAGGAAUCUGCCUAGUGGUGGGGGAUAACGUUCGGAAACGGACGCUAAUACCGCAUACGUCCUACGGGAGAAAGCGGGGGAUCUUCGGACCUCGCGCCAUUAGAUGAGCCUAGGUCGGAUUAGCUAGUUGGUGAGGUAAUGGCUCACCAAGGCGACGAUCCGUAACUGGUCUGAGAGGAUGAUCAGUCACACUGGAACUGAGACACGGUCCAGACUCCUACGGGAGGCAGCAGUGGGGAAUAUUGGACAAUGGGCGAAAGACCUGAUCCAGCCAUGCCGCGUGUGUGAAGAAGGUCUUCGGAUUGUAAAGCACUUUAAGUUGGGAGGAAGGGUAGUAACCUAAUACGUUGCUACUUU
rnacentral:rRNA from 1 species